CCUACGGGAGGCAGCAGUGAGGGAUAUUGCGCAAUGGGCGAAAGCCUGACGCAGCGACGCCGCGUGGGCGAGGAAGGCCUUCGGGUUGUAAAGCCCUUUUGGCAGGGAAGAGCAAGGACUGUACCUGCAGAACAAGUCACGGCUAACUACGUGCCAGCAGCCGCGGUAAAACGUAGGUGGCGAGCGUUAUCCGGAUUUACUGGGCGUAAAGAGCGCGUAGGCGGUCGAUUAAGUUGGAUGUGAAAGCCCCCGGCUUAACGGGGGAGGGUCAUCUGAAACGGAUCGACUUGAAGGCAGGAGAGGGAAGUGGAAUUCCCGGUGUAGUGGUGAAAUGCGUAGAUAUCGGGAGGAACACCAGUGGCGAAGGCGGCUUCCUG
rnacentral:rRNA from 1 species